rnacentral:rRNA from 1 species
GAACGCUAGCGGCAGGCUUAACACAUGCAAGUCGAGGGUAUAGUUCUUCGGAAUUAGAGACCGGCGCACGGGUGCGUAACGCGUAUGCAAUCUACCUUUCACAGAGGGAUAGCCCAGAGAAAUUUGGAUUAAUACCUCAUAGUAUAGCAGUUUCGCAUGAAACCACUAUUAAAGUCACAACGGUGAAAGAUGAGCAUGCGUCCCAUUAGCUAGUUGGUAAGGUAACGGCUUACCAAGGCAACGAUGGGUAGGGGUCCUGAGAGGGAGAUCCCCCACACUGGUACUGAGACACGGACCAGACUCCUACGGGAGGCAGCAGUGAGGAAUAUUGGACAAUGGGCGCAAGCCUGAUCCAGCCAUGCCGCGUGCAGGAUGACGGUCCUAUGGAUUGUAAACUGCUUUAUACAGGAAGAAACGCUACUUCGUGAAGUAGCUUGACGGUACUGUAAGAAUAAGGAUCGGCUAACUCCGUG